CAGCCGCCGCGGUAAUACGGAGGGUGCAAGCGUUAAUCGGAAUUACUGGGCGUAAAGCGCACGCAGGCGGUCUGACAAGUCAGAUGUGAAAUCCCCGGGCUUAACCUGGGAACUGCAUUUGAAACUGUCAGGCUGGAGUCUUGUAGAGGGGGGUGGAAUUCCAGGUGUAGCGGUGAAAUGCGUAGAGAUCUGGAGGAAUACCGGUGGCGAAGGCGGCCCCCUGGACAAAGACUGACGCUCAGGUGCGAAAGUGUGGGGAGCAAACAGGAUUAGAUACCCCUGUAGUCCCUGUCUCUUAUAC
rnacentral:rRNA from 1 species